rnacentral:ribozyme from 14 species
AAAAAAAAAAAAAAAAAAAAAAAAAAAAUCAAAAAAGCAGUUUAUUUUUUAACUUGCAGCUGGUGUUAGAUUAUUAUUAUUAUUAUUAUUAUUAUUAUUUUUAUUGUACUCAUCUCUGUGAUGAUGAGAAAAAUAAAAAUGAUGAUGAUAAAAUGGCACACAGUUAAAGCAGCAGAGAAAAAA